rnacentral:lncRNA from 1 species
AUAGCCAGUUUUGGUGGAAAUUUUUUUGUUCAAGAUUACAUUUCACGUGUUGUGAGAAGCUCGUUUCUGCUAUAACAGCAGAACCCAAGCUCAGUGCAAGAAAAGCAGCCUAUAUUUCUGCUACAGACCUGGAAUCUGCCAACUGGCUGGAUUCACAUGCCGCCAGAGAAAGGAGAUUGAAGCCAUGUGUCAAGUCUUCUCCUCCAGAAACAGCUCAACAUAAGCCCUUCUGUUAACAGGAAGACUGGCUCAGAAACACCGAAUCAGCAGUAUCAUGUGCAAACAUAAAACGAGGCAAUGAUGAGUGAGGAAAUGUAUCAAUCCCUGGGCAUGUGCCUUUGGCAGACGCUGGAUUACCACCAAAUAUGCCCAGCAAUUAUUCUCCAACAUUUCCCAGCUUCGCUGCAAUAAGGGUAGCAUGUGACUUAUUCUGGCCAAUGAAAUGAGAGUGACACUGAAGCACUAUCACUUCCAAGCACAAGCACUUUCACUGAGGCAGCGAAAAGCCUGUUUGCUAGAAUGAAAAGGACUCCCCAGAGUAAUCUUAGAAGACGCAUUUUAAAGAGGGAAGAGACUAUAUACCUGAAGAACUGUAUAAAGCAGGGAUGCCCCAAUAUUUUCACCCAUCGAAUACUGCUAGAACAAGAAAAUUCUAUUGCUUUGGUAUCAGGAUGAUGGCGGCCUCCUAAAAUGAGUUAGGGAGGAUUCCCUCUUUUUCUAUUGACUGGAAUAGUUUCAGAAGGAAUGGUAUCAACUCCUCUUUGUACCUCUGGUAGAAUUCAGCUGUGAAUACAUCUGGUCCUGGACUUUUUUUGACAGAUAGCUGUUUCUGUUGCUUGCAACCAAAUACCCUGAUUGUUGAAAAGCCAACAAUUCAAAACUCCAAAAUCUACUGUAGACUGGAGCUCUUCCUGGGGACUCUUCUGUUCCUCAACAGGCUCUGAAAGCUUCCUGGUCAUUUUGAAGUUGGAAGACUCAAUUUUGAACCACUCUCAGGCAGAAGAGAAGAGUCACUAUCCAUUGUGAUCAAAAGAAUACCUGCCGGCAGAUGAGCCACAUGCCUCAGCAGUCCAGACUUCCGUGGCGACCUCCACGGGCAAGCCUAUGCACUGGGUGCCCAGCAUGCCCUCAGGAGUGGCUGAGGCUACUGGCUGUCACAGGGCAAGGUUGUGGGAAGCCUGAAGCUGGUGGGAGGGGCACACGCAGGUGGUUCUGAGCUGAGCCUGAGUGAGUGCUACAUGAAGUAUUGUAUUUAUGUUAAAACCCACUGUUCUUAGACACUGGGCUCUGAGUCUCUCAGAAGUAGAUUUAUCCUAAGAGAUAUGUAAAUCUAUAUGAACUCCAACCUAUAUUUUUAAAUAAAAUCAAUAUGAUUCCCCUUGUAUAUUUUACUACUUUCUUUCUAAUUUGUGUCAAUGCUGCACUGAUCAAUAAAUUACAAAUUCUUACACAGAAA